AACGCGAAGAACCUUACCUGGGCUAGAAUGCCUCUGACAACCUUAGAGAUAGGGCCUUCUGGGUAAAACCAGACAGAGUGCAAGGUGCUGCAUGGCUGUCGUCAGCUCGUGUCGUGAGAUGUUGGGUUAAGUCCCGCAACGAGCGCAACCCUUAUCAAUAGUUGCCAGCGGUUCGGCCGGGCACUCUAUUGAGACUGCCGUUGACAAAACGGAGGAAGGUGGGGAUGACGUCAAGUCCUCAUGGCCUUUAUGUCCAGGGCUACACACGUGCUACAAUGGCCGGUACAAACCGCCGCAAACUCGCAAGAGGGAGCCAAUCGGAAAAAGCCGGUCUCAGUUCGGAUUGGAGUCUGCAACUCGACUCCAUGAAGCUGGAAUCGCUAGUAGUCGCAGAUCAGCAUGCUGCGGUGAAUACGUUCCCGGGUCUGUACACACCG
rnacentral:rRNA from 1 species